rnacentral:rRNA from 1 species
CCUACGGGAGGCAGCAGUAGGGAAUCUUUCACAAUGGGCGAAAGCCUGAUGGAGCAACGCCGCGUGCAGGAUGAAGGCCUUCGGGUUGUUAACUGCCUUUAUAAGCGAGAAAUAUGAUGGUAACUUAUGAAUAAGGAACGGCUAACUACGGGCCAGCAGCCGCGGUCAUACGUAGGAUCCGAGCAUUAUUCGGAGUGAUUGGGUGUAAAGAGUUGCGUAGGUGGCGUAGUAAGUAGCUAGUGAAAUCUGGUGGCGCAACCAUUCAGACUAUUAGCUAAACUGUUAAGCUCGAGACCGUUAGAGGUAACUGGAAUUUCUAGUGUAGGAGUGAAAUCCAUAGAUAUUA